ACGGGUGAGUAACGCGUAGGAACGUGUCCAGAGGUGGGGGACAACCCCGGGAAACUGGGGCUAAUACCGCAUAGGGGCUGAGGCCCAAAGCCGAAAGGCGCCUUUGGAGCGGCCUGCGUCCGAUUAGGUAGUUGGUGGGGUAAAGGCCUACCAAGCCUGCGAUCGGUAGCUGGUCUGAGAGGACGACCAGCCACACUGGGACUGAGACACGGCCCAGACUCCUACGGGAGGCAGCAGUGGGGAAUAUUGGACAAUGGGCGAAAGCCUGAUCCAGCAAUGCCGCGUGGGUGAAGAAGGUCUUCGGAUCGUAAAGCCCUUUCGACGGGGACGAUGAUGACGGUACCCGUAGAAGAAGCCCCGGCUAACUUCGUGCCAGCAGCCGCGGUAAUACGAAGGGGGCUAGCGUUGCUCGGAAUUACUGGGCGUAAAGGGCGCGUAGGCGGCGGCCCAAGUCAGGCGUGAAAUUCCUGGGCUCAACCUGGGGACUGCGCUUGAUACUGGGUUGCUUGAGGAUGGAAGAGGCUCGUGGAAUUCCCAGUGUAGAGGUGAAAUUCGUAGA
rnacentral:rRNA from 1 species